rnacentral:rRNA from 1 species
UGGGGAAUAUUGCACAAUGGGCGCAAGCCUGAUGCAGCCAUGCCGCGUGUAUGAAGAAGGCCUUCGGGUUGUAAAGUACUUUCAGCGGGGAGGAAGGCGAUAAGGUUAAUAACCUUGUCGAUUGACGUUACCCGCAGAAGAAGCACCGGCUAACUCCGUGCCAGCAGCCGCGGUAAUACGGAGGGUGCAAGCGUUAAUCGGCAUUAAUGGGCGUAAAGCGCACGCAGGCGGUCUGUCAAGUCGGAUGUGAAAUCCCCGGGCUCAACCUGGGAACUGCAUUCGAAACUGGCAGGCUAGAGUCUUGUAGAGGGGGGUAGAAUUCCAGGUGUAGCGGUGAAAUGCGUAGAGAUCUGGAGGAAUACCGGUGGCGAAGGCGGCCCCCUGGACAAAGACUGACGCUCAGGUGCGAAAGCGUGGGGAGCAAACA